rnacentral:rRNA from 1 species
GACGAACGCUGGCGGCGUGCCUAAUACAUGCAAGUUGAGCGAUGAAGAUUGGUGCUUGCACCAAUUUGAAGAGCAGCGAACGGGUGAGUAACGCGUGGGGAAUCUGCCUUUGAGCGGGGGACAACAUUUGGAAACGAAUGCUAAUACCGCAUAACAACUUUAAACAUAAGUUUUAAGUUUGAAAGAUGCAAUUGCAUCACUCAAAGAUGAUCCCGCGUUGUAUUAGCUGGUUGGUGAGGUAAAGGCUCACCAAGGCGAUGAUACAUAGCCGACCUGAGAGGGUGAUCGGCCACAUUGGGACUGAGACACGGCCCAAACUCCUACGGGAGGCAGCAGGAGGGAAUCUUCGGCAAUGGACGAAAGUCUGACCGAGCAACGCCGCGUGAGUGAAGAAGGGUUUCGGAUCGUAAAACUCUGUUGGUAGAGAAGAACGUUGGUGAGAGUGGAAAGCUCAUCAAGUGACGGUAACUACCCAGAAAGGGACGGCUAACUACGUG